CACUCACCCACUACCAGUCCCUCUCCCCCAUAUACGCACAACACAGCCUUAGCAAACCAAAAAGGAAAGAAAAGAAAACGGGGAUUAAGGGAGACGAGAGAAAGAAGGUUGCGAUCGGAGAGGAGAGAGUGCUGCGAGCCAGGGACAACGCAAGAAAGGAGAGGAGCCGUCGCGCUCGGCCGCUGCCAGCUCCGUCGCAUCCUGCGCCGCGCCAUCGCCGCCCAGACCGCGUCCGUUCCGUUCAGCCACCGCCAUUGCCAUCAUGUGGGUGAGAAGGAGAAGCUGAGAAAGGCUCAGCUGUGAGAACCAGAGGCGCGUGAGAGAGGGAAGACGCGAUCGACGAAGGGAAGGAAAAAGGGUUUCACCACCGCGGUGUUCUGCCACCACUGCUGCCUCCGAUCGGAGCCCUAGCCACCGGAGCCCCUACCGUCACCAUUGCAUGUGGGGGGAGGAGAUGACGUUGCCGAUUCUGAUUCUGCCCAAGUCCCUCAUCGUCAUUGGAAUCACGAACCAGAGGCGGAAGGAGGCGUUCCUCCAUCGCCAGCCAGCCACCAAGCUAUGACCAAAUUGGAGACAUUAUUUCUAUUACCUUCCGUUUUGAGUCAUUAUUGUCAUUGUUCGGUGUUGCCACCCUUGCUUAGAGCUAUUGAAUGUUUCUGCUGCGAGAAUAUUACUAGAAUCGCUGCUGCUGCCACGAAUUGGGGAUAAAGGGGAUUCCUGCGUCAAAUCUUGCUAUUGCGACAUCGAGGUAGGGGGUCCGUUUGUAAAAUGAAAGCUUUUAAAUUAAGAAUGCUCAAAGAUUUUAUUCAGUAAUGCAAAUAACUUAUAAAUGUUAUGUAUGGCUAAUUGAUGAAAGUCAGAAUUGUUGGUAAUAGCGAAUAUGAUUUAUUGUGAUAAGAUUGAUUUGUUGCUGUGUUUGAGGAU